rnacentral:tRNA from 3 species
GGGCCCGUAGCUCAAUUGGUAGAGCGCCGCAUUCGCAUUGCGGAGGUCAGGGGUUCGACUCCCCUCGGGUCCACCA